rnacentral:tRNA from 1 species
GGACUUUUAUUUUAAGCAAAAUUUCAGUUUGUAAAUCUGGGGAUAUUGAGUCUU